rnacentral:rRNA from 1 species
CCUACGGGAGGCUGCAGUGGGGAAUAUUGCACAAUGGGCGCAAGCCUGAUGCAGCCAUGCCGCGUGUGUGAAGAAGGCCUUCGGGUUGUAAAGCACUUUCAGCGGGGAGGAAGGCGUUAAGGUUAAUAACCUUGGCGAUUGACGUUACCCGCAGAAGAAGCACCGGCUAACUCCGUGCCAGCAGCCGCGGUAAUACGGAGGGUGCAAGCGUUAAUCGGAAUUACUGGGCGUAAAGCGCACGCAGGCGGUCUGUCAAGUCGGAUGUGAAAUCCCCGGGCUCAACCUGGGAACUGCAUUCGAAACUGGCAGGCUAGAGUCUUGUAGAGGGGGGUAGAAUUCCAGGUGUAGUGGUGAAAUGCGUAGAGAUCUGGAGGAAUACCGGUGGCGAAGGCGGCCCCCUGGACAAAGACUGACGCUCAGGUGCGAAAGCGUGGGGAGCAAACAGGAUUAGAUACCCGUGUAGUC